rnacentral:rRNA from 1 species
UACGAAGGGUGCAAGCGUUACUCGGAAUUACUGGGCGUAAAGCGCGCGCAGGCGGUCCUUUAAGUCUGAUGUGAAAUCCCACGGCUCAACCGUGGAAGGUCAUUGGAAACUGGGGGACUUGAGUACAGAAGAGGAAAGCGGAAUUCCAAGUGUAGCGGUGAAAUGCGUAGAGAUUUGGAGGAACACCAGUGGCGAAGGCGGCUUUCUGGUCUGUAACUGACGCUGAGGCGCGAAAGCGUGGGGAGCAAACAGG